CCUGUCUCCAAGAGGAUGCCCCCCAUACCUGCAGCCAGGCUUCCCCACUCCCUGGGGUCUCAAGUCUCUUGAAGAAGCUUUUUAUUUUUGGUUGAUUCCUGCUGUCUACUCCUCUUGGAUGCCUUUGUGAAACUGCUUCUAUCUGAGAAGGAGGAGUUGCCAUUUAGCAAGUAGUAGGUGGUACCGUGUGUGGCAGAGUCCGAUGUGUUACACCACGAGGACAUUCAUCUUUGCAAUUGGUGAAGUCCUUCUACCUAGUUCCCCUUCCUUGUGCACAGAAGAGGACUGGAAAACUCCUCACAGGACUGCAUACUGCUAUCUCUGAGAAACCAGAAAGAAGAAAGUACCUCUUCCUUCCAAGCUUCUACCUAAGAGUAUACUGGAAGGUUUACCUAGAGCAACAAGACAACGAAAUGGAUUGUCCUUCUCACGCUAGUCCACACACAAUCCUCAUCAUUUUGAUAAGAUAGCAUGAAGUCUCUUAUCGCUUGUGGAUCCAGCACUUUGGUUCAGGUUCAUCUGCCCAUAAUUCUCUAAGAUUUGGAGCUGUUGAGGAGUGGCUCAUAGUAGACACUGAACCAUCAGCCAACAGCAUUUGUUGUCCUGGAUGUCUGUGCCAACCUUUCGAGUCACACUGGGGUCUAAAGACACACCUGGAAUAAAAAUCAGAAUGCUUAAGAAACUUAAUAUGAUCUGCGGGAGAAUACAUGAGGUUUUUGUUUCAUACCACAGUCUGAUGACAGCAUGGAUUUCAACUGAUGAUGUUCACCUUUGCCUCUUGGGUCAAUAUGUGAGCUCAGAGAUUUCCCUGCUUU
rnacentral:lncRNA from 1 species